rnacentral:lncRNA from 1 species
GAAAAAUGAACGUGGCCUUCGGACACAGGGUGGUCCCUUGCCAGGGACUGGAUGGAACUGGUUCAAUUCCCCGCUCCUGGGCUUCCUGGUGUGCAACGUGAGCCAUGCUCACCCCAGGGUGGCUGGGAAAAAACGCCGGUCCGCUCUGAGCAUUCGUUUCAGUGAUGGCUGUUCUUGUUCACGUGAGAUGUGCCAACUCUACAAUACUAAACCGUUGGGAGAAGCUUCAAGGGGACAGCACCUGGGGAGGGGCAGUGGCGGGCUCCAGGUUGCCCAAGGCUGUCAUGGAGAGGAGGAGACCCCAGUCCAGCCCAGCCUUGUGCCUGCAGUGGAGGUUCCAGUUGUGAAGGGGCUCCAAGUGCCUUGUUCAUCCUUUGCUUGAUAAUGAACCACCUCUGCCAGGUGCCAGCUGUACUGUGCACCUGCAGCUCCACACCCUCUAGGCACCAGCCCCUCCACUCUUUGGCCUCUUCGACAGGGAACCCCGAGGGGACAGUGGAGCAGGCCUGGGGCUGUUCCAGGCAGCAGGGGGGCGCCUGGGUCAGCGUCCCCACCCGCUGCCCUCCCCGGCCUUCCAACUUGCUGUGUGCACAUUAACAACAUGGACGGUCUUUUUCUUUUAUUAUAAAAGUGAUUCAUUCUCUUGUGAAGAUUUAAAUAUGAAAGAGUGGAUCUCCGCUAAUCCCACCCGGUGAUGAUAGCAGCCGACAGAUGGGCGAGCAUAGAGCUCAGACAUUGCCAGCAGCGUCAGAUCCUUAUAUAUCCAGAGCACGGCUCACACGCCACCGCCCUGCUGGCUCUGUCAGCCGCAUGGUCCUCCGCGACACCUGGGGCUCUCCCUCCUUCCUUUGUGUGCACAACCUCAAAGCCAUUUUUUCCAGACUUGGCGUGAAGAUGAUUUUCUGACACGUUGAUGCUUCUGAAGCACAAGGAGGGCCCUGUCUCCACGGUGUCCAAGCAGAGGCUGACAUCCUUUCAGGAGGGAGGUGAUUCGGGCGCAGCUGGGCUGGCGGGAGGCAUGGAGGCUGAGUCCCCUUCCUCACUGCUCUCUACCUGGAGAAGAAACCACCAGACCAUGAGGCCGAGCUGGGGAAAGUUCCGGGGGGCUGCUUGGGCUCUGUGCUCCCUCCACUGGGGCAGGCGGAGGGCCCUGCGUGCUCCUUCCAGGCAGGGGCUGAGGGGACUGUGGAAGCCACGACAGGGGUCUGUGUGAACAGAAGACCCAAGGACAAGGUGCCCCAGCACUCCCAGCCACUAGCAAGGACAGGCAAUUUUCAAAACUUCUCCCCAAACUACAACCUCAGGAAAAGGGGUGGAGAAAACUCCUUUGACAGAGAUUUGGUUUUCACCACCAUGACAGGACAAUGAUGAUGGAUGGAAGCUGUGGCUGGGCGUGGGAAGGCUGAGUGUGCAAAUGUGGGUGGAGUUCUGGGGCCCCGCCCCCGCCAGUCUUCCACUUGGUCCCUGUGAGGACCCACAUGAGGGAAGUGUUGCUUCUGGCCUCAGAACCCAAGGCAGAGCAGGCUGGAGUCCCACCCCAUGGAUCACGAGCCCACGCUGUGACCCUGAGUCCUGGACAUGCGCAGAGGGAGGGUGUGCACGAGCCCGGGAGCUCCUGUCUCUGUCUUAAGAGUGGAGCAUGUCUUAAGAGCUGGCAUGAGGAUCAGAGGGUCCCUUCAGUGCGGCCUUCUAGAAGAACUACAGCAACCAGGCCCUCGCAGGGGGGAGAUGCACCUGCUGGGGCUAAGGAGCGAGUGAAGCCAGCCCCUGAGACACAUGCUCCCAACCCCAUCCUCACCUCCCAAGAGAGGGGGAGCCUCCUGUUAAGCAUCCAAGUCCCAAGUCACCGGCCGGCAUCGGCUGCAGCUCUCUGUGUGUGGAGACAUCUCAUUCUGGUGUCUUCUUUACACAGGUCAGCGCUCACAGGCUCGGCUGUGUCUCAAGACCCAAUUCCUUCGAGUCACUGAGAUGCCCAAGGACAAGGGCAACAGAGAGUGUGAAAAGCUGGAGUAGACAGGACAGAAAACAGGGUGCAGCGUCCCCCAGGUUGGCAGAUAGCCCAGCCCCAGGGACCCCACAGCCAUGGCAACCUGUGUGAAUGAGCCCCAGGAGCAGGGCAGUACACGAUCUGCGCGACUGUGCGGGGCAGCCCUGGGUCUCUGCCUCAGGGGAGAGAUUGUGUCCUCGCCUUUUGUGGUUUCUAGAGGUUCCUGCCCUCCUUGGCUGCACGGCAUCUCCCAGCCUCUCUCUCCCUUCCGUCGUCCCCUCUCCUCCUCUGACCCUGACCCUCCCAGUCCCUCUUAGAGGGGCUGUGAUUAAACUGUGCCCACCCUGACCAUCCAGAAUAAUCUCCCAUCUCAAGGUCCUUAACAGCAUGUGGAACUGCACUAGCCGCCCCAAGGCCCCCAAAAGGCAACCCUGGAUUGGGCCCCCCAAGUUGCCUGGGAUUCAUGGCCACCACCCGGCUCGACGGCUCCAGACCGAAAUGCACCCAGUUAUAG